UACGUAGGUGGCGAGCGUUGUCCGGAUUUAUUGGGCGUAAAGCGCGUGCAGGUGGUUGGUUAAGGCCGAUGAUAAAAUCUCCCGGCUCACCUGGGAGGGCGCGUUGGCGACUGGCCGACUGGAGGCAGGUAGAGGCCGGUGGAAUUCCCGGUGUAGUGGUGAAAUGGCGUAGAUAUCGGGAGGAACACCAGUGGCGAAAGCGGCCGGCUGGGCCUGUCCUGACGCGUGAGACGGCGAAAAGCGUGGGGAGCGAACGGA
rnacentral:rRNA from 1 species